rnacentral:lncRNA from 10 species
CAGGAUCUGCCGUGCAGCCCUAGACAGAGCUUUGAGCCAUCCUAGGUAAAAAUAAAGGUGAGAAAGAUCCAAGGAGAACAAUGCAAACCCAUCUGCCCUCUGUUCCCCACUCCUUGUCAAGCUUCAUUUCACCCCAGUGCAAGAACGGAAUCCACACAUAGGCAGAACAGUUGUCUGGAGAGCAAGGGUAGACUUAGAUCAUUCUUCUACACCAAAAAUGUAGGGGCCAAGUGUUGAUGUUUUCUGAAAAUGUUCUUUGGAGGAUGGUCCAGGGAAAGACCGGGUGACCGAGAGUGGCUCAGCUAGUCAUUCUGCUUACUUUGAAGCCAGGAAGAGUUUUUCAUUUGUGUGUGUGUGGUUUGGGGACCAUCAAAUACAUAUUCAUUGAACCAGUAGAUCAACACAAAGUUGCUCAAAGUGUGGAAUAUAAACUGAUGUUUGCCCAGGAAUCAUUUGUUACCAGUCUGUGGUGGUAAUUGAAGCAUCAUUACAAAAGUGACAAAUUGUAAUUUUAAGAAGUCCUUCACCAUAGAGAGUCUGAGAAGCACUGCUUUAGAGCACCUGUUACAGGGACCCUGGACCUCAAGAGGACUUGGGAUCGACCUCCCCACCAAACUGACUGAGGACUGUGUAUUCUGCUGAUCUUCUGCAUAGCAACAGACCUGGUUUACCUUCAGAGACUCAUCAAACUAUCUGAGAGAAUGCAAUUCCUUUAAGAUCUCUUUUCUCUGUGUGUGUGUUUUUAAAUAUACUCUUGCAUUUUAGUAGUUAAUUGAGAUGGGAUUCAUGCAUGAGAGAUUUACUGAAUUUGUAUCUGAUUAGCCAGGGCCACUUUAUACUCUGUAAUUGUAGAUGUGGUUUUUAAACUGACAAUUGUAAGUUUGCAUGUAUUCUUUUUCUCCUAACUCUGUUUAGACUUUGUAUUCAGGAUAGAAAUUACCUUUUCUAAGAAGUUUUACCAAGCUGAGUGUAAAUCUAUAAUACCUCAGCAGUAAAACAAUCCCAGAGGGAUAAUUUUGUGCAACCAUUUCAAUCUUGAUACCAAUUAAAAUGGUAUGAUCUAUCUCACCGCCAUCACACAAAACAGGUUUCUAUGCCAUCUCCUCACCUCUUGCUUAGAGAAAACCAUCAGAUUGGUUCUAUUACACUCAGAUUUAAGAUCAAACAUCUUUUUUUCAGAGCUUUAUGGAUUCUAAUAACAAUAGAAAGUACUGAAAUAAGCCUAUUUUCGUGGCUGCCUUUCAAUCAGUAUGUAACACACUUUCCAUUUUGUCUUCACCAGAAAUAAAUUGUACUUUAAAUCUCUGCUCUCCUUAAAUAUUUCAAAUAUGUGGGAUAUGAUAUCAUCUCUAAAAAGGGAACUUCUUUAGAUGGCAUUGUUAGGAAGCCUUAGCAAAAGCAUUUUGCAAGCUAGUAACAUAAUUCUAGAACAGGUUUUAUUGC